rnacentral:rRNA from 1 species
AGUGAACGCUGGCGGUAGGCCUAACACAUGCAAGUCGAACGGCAGCACAGUAAGAGCUUGCUCUUACGGGUGGCGAGUGGCGGACGGGUGAGGAAUACAUCGGAAUCUACUUUUUCGUGGGGGAUAACGUAGGGAAACUUACGCUAAUACCGCAUACGACCUACGGGUGAAAGCAGGGGAUCUUCGGACCUUGCGCGAUUGAAUGAGCCGAUGUCGGAUUAGCUAGUUGGCGGGGUAAAGGCCCACCAAGUCGACGAUCCGUAGCUGGUCUGAGAGGAUGGUCGGCCACACUGGAGCUGAGACACGGUCCAUGCUCCUGCGGGAGGCAGCAGUGGGGAAUAUUGGGCAAUGGGCGCAAGCCUGAUCCAGCCAUACCGCGUGGGUGAAGAAGGCCUUCGGGUUGUAAAGCCCUUUUGUUGGGAAAGAAAAGCAGCAGGUUGAUACCCCGCUGUUCUGACGGUACCCAAAGAAUAAGCACCGGCUAACUUCGUG